CUAAAACACCCACAUUUUCACAGAAGUUGCAAAGACUUGAACUCGGACACACUUUCUGUUUCUCCCCAGGUGUGAUGCUUAAUGAGAAUGGUUUUACUAGAGCUGGUCACCCACACUCUCAGAUAAAGAGGUGGAGGUAUUCCAGCCUCUACAGGGGUAAUAAUCUCUGUUUCAUAUGCUAGCACAAGAAGGAGGGCAGGAAGCACGAGCAGGAAAUUUCACAGUUUCAUUUCAAACUAAUGCGUUUAAACAGAAAAUUAUAAAUACUAAAUAAUUUAGAAGUGUGCUAUCCAAGGACAAAGAGCCCCAGAUGCUCUGAAGGGUUAAUCUAGAGGGGAGAGAGGGAAGGCCUGUGUAGCUUCACUGUGCUAAUGGUGUGGGGAAAGAACUUCUGAGAUGCCUGCUCAAUUUGUCAGGAUUUUAUCUUCUGAACUAUUACCUCCAGCUUUCCCCAGAACACCCUCCCCAGCCCUUUUAUCUGCCAGCUAUCUUCAAGUUAACUGUCUGCCUAUUGCCUUGGCUGAACCACACUAAUAGUCAGCUAAUUACACAUGAACACUCUAAUUUGCUUUGUCUUUCUCAAAAAACUCACGCGUGUGCAGGCAUGCACGUGUGUGCACUUCUGCUCCUGCCAUGAAACUGCUCCAGCUGAACCAGGAUAAAAUUUGAUGCAUUUGUUUUCUGCCCCUUCUGAUGCUUCCCCCCACCAGGCCACCACCAACGCUUGUCAUUCCUGAUUUGCAGCAUCACCUGUUGCUCCAACACCAGGCUCCUGUAGAGCAGAAACUGGAGCAAAGAAGAGAAAUACGUGUUUGUCAUUGAACUGAGCUGAGAAGAAGGAAGAGGAGAAUGAUAAGAUCAUAGCCUGCAGCACUUUGUUUAUGAGAACAUCCUUCCAGUGAUAUAUGUCUGCACCAGGUGAAAGAGCUUUGGCUGUGUGUGUCCCGUGGGAAUGAAGGCAACCGUGACACCGCGGAGUUGCACGUCUUUGAGGAAGACUAAGGUCAGAGCCACUCCAUGACCCAUCCAGGACAGCAUCAGUAACUUUACAAGAGAGAGGAAAAGGAGCUUCUGACUGCCUGAAAAAACCUUCGAGGAGACUACUGGAAAAAUCUGUGGCUGUGCUUUGACUGGUCCAGGUGGACAAAGGAAUAUUGCCUUAAAUUAGAGAUAUAUGGCUGCCUCUUUUGUUUACAUUUCUCACUGCUUUUUGUCAUCAGAAGAUGAGAUUGCUUACAGACACAAGGCUCUUCUGAAGUGCUUUCAGGCUGCUUUGGAAACUUGGAAAGCAACCCUCAUCCAGCAGUGCUGGGCAGUCACUGGAAGAUGUCCAGGGAUGCAGAGAACUCCGCUGGCUUUUGUGCCAGGCUGGAAUCACUGGUGAUGGGGCAGAGAAGGACAGAUCAGCUUUACACCUGGCUAGUUUCUCUCACCAAAGUGAUCUAACUCAGCAUUCUCAAGCCAGUGAAAGCUGAGGGUGAUGCUGCUCAAAUCUCCUCCUUGUGUGUCCUUUGGAGCCCGGGCUGUGCUCACCCAGGAGAAGAAGGUUGCUAUCACAUGGCUUUAUGGAGUGUUCCAAGUUGAUAUAUAACACAUGGCUUAGACAAAAUUAGUUUUCUCCCAGUGUCUGAUGACCACCAAUUCAUGAACAUGACACUGAAAUGUACUUUUUGUGCUUCCCAGACACAGCUCCUCAGCUGUAGCUCAAGACUGGACUUAACAGCACAAUACUUCAGUGUUCUGGCCAAUUACCACGUUGCCUUAUAAAGGAAGGAUUCCCACUAGAUUAUCCACAUAGAGAAAGUGAUACUAAAGUGACAAGCCACCAAGAGGUCAAAUAACCAGUUGCCAGAAGUUAAAAUAACUAGACUGUGGAGCAGCAAUAUCUGAGGAGCUGGCAUGUGUCCCAGGACUGGUUGUCACACAAAUGAAAGAAAAGACAGCUGGAAUCUUUUUGGGUUGACUGUUAUUUUCUGUGAAUAUAAUGUAAAUCUACCACUCUGGUUUUUCAACCAGAUGCCUGAACUGGGAGUUGAGAAACCAAUUCAGUAAA